rnacentral:rRNA from 1 species
UACGGAGGGUGCAAACGUUGCUCGGAAUUAUUGGGCGUAAAGCGCACGUAGGCGGUCCCUUAAGUCGGGUGUGAAAGCCCUCGGCUUAACCGAGGAAGUGCAUUCGAAACUGGGGGACUUGAAUACUGGAGAGGAUGGCGGAAUUCCCGGUGUAGAGGUGAAAUUCGUAGAUAUCGGGAGGAACACCAGCGACGAAGGCGGCCAUCUGGACAGAUAUUGACGCUGAGGUGCGAAAGCGUGGGGAGCAAACAGG